GAACGAUCCUAGCUUGCUAGGAGGCGUCGAGCGGCGGACGGGUGAGUAAUGCAUAGGAAUCUACCCAGUCGUGGGGGAUAACCUGAGGAAACUCAGGCUAAUACCGCAUACGUCCUACGGGAGAAAGCGGGGGCUCUUCGGACCUCGUGCGAUUGGAUGAGCCUAUGUCGGAUUAGCUAGUUGGUAAGGUAACGGCUUACCAAGGCGACGAUCCGUAGCUGGUCUGAGAGGAUGAUCAGCCACACCGGGACUGAGACACGGCCCGGACUCCUACGGGAGGCAGCAGUGGGGAAUAUUGGACAAUGGGCGAAAGCCUGAUCCAGCCAUGCCGCGUGUGUGAAGAAGGCUUUCGGGUUGUAAAGCACUUUCAGCGAGGAAGAAAGCGUGCCGUUUAAUACACGGUACGGACGACAUCACUCGCAGAAGAAGCACCGGCUAACUCCGUGCCAGCAGCCGCGGUAAUACGGAGGGUGCAAGCGUUAAUCGGAAUUACUGGGCGUAAAGCGCGCGUAGGCGGCGUGUCACGCCGGGUGUGAAAGCCCCGGGCUCAACCUGGGAACGGCAUCCGGAACGGGCAGGCUAGAGUGCAGGAGAGGAAGGUAGAAUUCCCGGUGUAGCGGUGAAAUGCGUAGAGAUCGGGAGGAAUACCAGUGGCGAAGGCGGCCUUCUGGACUGACACUGACGCUGAGGUGCGAAAGCGUGGGUAGCAAACAGGAUUAGAUACCCUGGUAGUCCACGCCGUAACGAUGUCGACUAGCCGUUGGGUCCCUUGAGGACU
rnacentral:rRNA from 1 species